rnacentral:rRNA from 1 species
UGGGGAAUAUUGCACAAUGGAGGGAACUCUGAUGCAGCGACGCCGCGUGAACGAAGAAGGCUUUCGAGUCGUAAAGUUCUUUUAUAUGGGAAGAUAAUGACGGUACCAUAAGAAAAAGCCCCGGCUAACUACGUGCCAGCAGCCGCGGUAAUACGUAGGGGGCUAGCGUUGUCCGGAAUCACUGGGCGUAAAGGGUUCGCAGGCGGAAAUGCAAGUCAGGUGUAAAAGGCAGUAGCUUAACUACUGUAAGCAUUUGAAACUGCAUAUCUUGAGAAGAGUAGAGGUAAGUGGAAUUUUUAGUGUAGCGGUGAAAUGCGUAGAUAUUAGGAGGAAUACCGGUGGCGAAGGCGACUUUCUGGCCAUAAUCUGACGCUGGGGUACGAAAGCGUGGGUAACAAACAGG